UGUCAUUCUAUUACUAAUGUAUAAACAAGGGGGAAAAGUUUGAGGUAAAAAAAGUCUUCAGGACUGGACUCUCUCUCUGGAUGCAUCUUGUGUUUCCCACCGGCAGCUGUGCCACUAGAGAGCCACACUCAGCUUUGGCAGUACAACUCUUCAGGAAGUGCAUUCGUAAUACACAAUAAUGAUGGAGGCGAGCAAAAGUUUGGAAUCCUAUUCUUCUGUGUAGUUACUCAGAGAUCAUCAGACAACAACAGAUAAGUGCUAAAUAUAUUAUAUUAUUAAUAAUAAUGUAUUAAUAACUUUGCUUUAGGACUUAUGCUAUUGGUGGGAAUUUUCAGAUAGAGAUGAUGGCAAUUCAGAAGUAUAUUAUUUUAGUCAUAAACAAAAAAGCUUUCUUAUUAUUUAUAAGGUGAAAUUGUUACAAGUGAUGUAAAAUGCAUGCAUCAUAGUUCUAUCUAUUGUGGUUAUAAAUAUGUGUUUGACAGCCUAUUUUCCUGAAAUUUGCCAUUUAUCAUCAAGCAAUUAAUAACCCCCCAAAAUUCCAUUUAACAGAAGUAAAAAAUUUGCAAAGAAAAAAAUUGCAUGAAAACUAUUAUUUACAAUUUGAUGCCAUUUCUCAUAACAACAGCUUGAACUAGGUGAAAAUACAUUAAUUCUACUAGUCAGCUCAAAAAUCACCUUCUAAAUUUACUUUUUAAAAGGUACUGUUUGCACAGGUAAAUGAUCUACAAUUUAUUUCUCUUUUGGGUCACUUUUACAUAUAUUAUCUGCUUGAUUGUCCUUAGGUGGUGGAUUAUUUUUAAAAGAAACAUUUAUGUAAAUUAGUAGGUCCAUAAAUGACUGCAUGGUUCCAAAUUAGUCUACACUAAAUACCAUUUUAUGGAAUAAUUUUGAUCAGAAAGUGAAUGCAUUUACAUAUAUAAUCUUACACUAAAUGCUAUUAUUUGGCAUAAAUUGAUUGGAAAGAGCAUGUAUUUACAUAUAAUCUUUAAUAAAUGAAUUGAAACCAGUUCAUUUUAACCCUUUGAACUCUCUGAGGAAGUGUACUGAAUCUUAGUAACAUGCACAUUAUGACUGAGGAUCAAUACAUUUGUCCUGAGUACCUUGAGUCCUCUAGCCUCCCCAGCCUUUGAUCCAAGAUAUAUUUUACAACAGUUCCUUAGCAUUGCCAAACCCAUGUGCUCAAAAAUCAUGAGACAGGCAUAAAAAAAAUCAUGAGUUUUGCUAAAAUUAUGAGAUUUCAAACAGGAACAGUAUUGGGGGGGACCCGAAAGACUAACCAUUUUAGCCCUAGAGGGGUUUGUAUUUAUUUUGAUUUAAAAACCAGCAGUGUAUUUUCACUCCCAUGACCAGUGCUAACCAACGCCACCCCCCCCCCAAAAUGUCACAUGUUGCCAGAAGAUUACAACCCUCAUUCAUCUCUGCCCCUUUCUCAAAGCUUCAGUGGAUAGAUAGCCCAGAGUUGCUGACCUAUUUCAAAGCAAGGGUGGGGGGAGGUAAGUCCCCAAAGGCAAGAGCCCUUCAUUUAAAACUCCCUGCCAGUAGCGCCUCACUUUAAAUCCAGGGGGACACAGCUCAAGUGCCUGUGCUGAUUCUAACUAUAGCAGUACUCUAAAGAGCAAGAAGCGGUUCCAACCCCAUUUGGGCUGUAUAAGCUUUAAAAACGAACUCUUUAAACUCCACCAAGAAACCAAUGGGCAGCUCAUGUAGCUCCUUAAGCACGGAUGUAGUGUGCUCCUGGCAAGGAAGCCUCCUUUGUAGGUCUAGUGCUGUAUCAUGUACUGGUUUCCAUUGCCAGAUAAAUUCCAGUGCACAGUAGUGUAAAGCUGAAGUGAGAAAAGUAAAAUCCUUAAAGAUAUUUCCUACAGAUGAGUGGAUUUUCUUCUUUGUGUCCUCCUGUUUUGCCUGGACAGAUGUAACUAUGCUGUUUGUCUCCGGACCAUUUCAAUUUCAGUUGUAUAAAUCUAAUCAAAACAAAAAGGAAUUCAGGGGGAGCCUGAACUUUAUUUCAGAUAUAUUUUUUUAAUUACAUAAAGCACCUGAAGGCUAAGCUUGACAAAAAGAAACUCAAAUCACAAUCAGAAGCAUAUGCAUGGAUAGUAAUGCCAGGGAAAAGAAUUGGUCCUGAUCCUGCAACUUGUAUGUGAAUGGACUGCUGAAUUGCAUGGAGGCCCAGUGACUUUGCUGAUUAUGUGCGGGCUCAGCAGUCUGUCUGUAUGCAGAAAUUUGCAGGAUUGAGGUAACUGUGUGUUAUAUUUUGCUACACUGUUUAGCACUGGAAAUAGAGAGAAUAAAGGGAAAUACGUUUCUAGUCCAAAUGAUUAUUCUUGUUUGUUCUUUGAAACUGUGGCUGCUUGAUUGUAGUUUGUAGGGAGAAUUUCCUGACCAUUAAAGACACAAUAUGAGCCUGACCAGGUCCCCCAGUAUACCUUCCCUUGGAUAUUGCCACGUCUUUCUCUCUCUCUCUCUCUCUGCUGAGAGGGGAUAUGCUUUGUUGCUCUCUCUCUCUUUGCUGCUGUUGGGAAUGGGAUUUUGGUUUUUUGUGGCAGUUGUAGGGUUAGUUUCAGGAUUUCUUUUGCUUUAGCAGGCUUUUGUCUGCCCUCUGGGCUGACAUGGCCAGGCCAAGGCAACAGAGACUUUAGUUUUUUUUGUGGAUACUGUAGAUUUAACCUGUUGUUGUAAUGGUUUGUGGAUUUUGCCUCCAGACUUUGCCCCUGUGGAGGAAUGAGUUCUAGUGUGGGGAAGGUGAUUCGGUUUAAAAAUGUGAGAUCUGCCUCCUGCAUGAGCAAGACUGUUAUUGCAUUUGUUGCCAUGCUUAACCUUCUUUGAGCAGGUGGUUGUGAAGGGGAUUGUUAUGCACGGUGGCUUUGUCCCUGUAGUGCCCCUCUGAUCACAUGCUGUUAAAGUCACUAUCUUUAAUGUCCACCCCUUUUUUAGGAAAUGAGCCACUGGUUAGUGACCUGGCAAGUUAUGGUAAAAUCACUAGCCCUAUUAGGAGAAUUCCGUUGGCCUGUAAAUUCCCAGAGGUUUGUCGUGUCUUAUCCUUUCAUAGGCAGGUUUGUAUGAUACUAAAAAAUGCGUCCAAAAUUUUAAAAGUUGCCCUGAAAUACAGGAUUGGGGAGUGUGACUACACUGUGUUUGUUUCCGCUGAGGACCUGGCUUGUCUGUGUUGUGGGAGUCUGACAUGUCUAGUCUAGCAGUGCCCUCAGAAGAGGCUGGGAAUGGUGACCCUGCAUCUGGGAAUGUUGGGGGUUCUGAGAGUAAAGUACAGAGAGGGGUGACUGUGGCAGAGACUGGGUCCCAACUGGUUCCAGAUGUCUCUGGGGAUGCUGGUUUUGGAGGAUUAGUGCCCUCUUUACUACCUGGGGGAGAUGGCAUUACUGGUUCUGUGGAUCCUGAUUCUGCCAUCCCUCGGCUUGAGCCUGCUUACAGAAUGGAGGCUGAGCCUGUUGCUGUAGAAUCCGUGACCUUGGCUGAGGAUUCUGGCUUGCUGGCAAAGCCCCAGAGACAAAAGCGGUCAUUGAAUUCAAAGGGGACUCCAAUUACUGAGGAAGCUGUGAAGUGGCUUAGUUUGGUUAGAGCAAUCGGGAAGCACUCUGUUGAGGGUGUUGCUGAGGGCGGGUCUCUAGCUGAGGUCAUGGAGAAUUCCCCCUGGGAAUUCUUGCUAGUAGUUUUGCCCCCUUGGUUCCAGCAGCCCCCUCCCUCUGGUCUCUCUGAGGUUCUCUCUCCCCUACCCGCUCCUUUUAGGUUGGUAGUGACUCUGAGUCUGAGAGCAUGGGAGGAUGAUCAAUUCACAUAUUUCUUUGGUCUUGAACUCCCUGGGGGUUUUAUGACUUCAUUUGAAGUUUAGAUAUGAUAUGCUUUUUAUAUCAAUGUAUUCAAUGGUAGGCUAUUGGAAAUGAGCUUUGAACUGUUUGGGAUGGGAAACUGUUUUAGAAUUUGUAAUUUAGUUUCUUGUUUUUACUGUGUUUCUAUACAGAUUUCAUUAAAAUGUUUUAAAAGUCUCUCUUUCUCAGGUUUUAUACUGCUGCCUGUACCAUGGUGACUAAACACGUUCCAUGUAGCUUCAAUAGCAAUAGCACAGUCACUAGUGGACUUUGUGAAAUCUCUGGCACAUCUCCAUUUUUGGAAGGUGAGCCAGAGAGAAAGUGUAUUGGGGAGGCAUUGAUCUAUUCUCGAUCAAUCUUUGCAAUAAAGCCAUGCAUUUUUUCAAACUAGCAGGGGUUUGAACUGUGUGACCUGGCUGGAGGGUUGAGCCACAGAAGACCCACAGAGCUGGGAUGACAGCCUGCAGGAGGUGCUAGGAACUGAAAAGAGAAGCAGCACCACACCUGGAUUCCGGGGGUGCUCAAAGAGAAUUGAAUUCUCCAUUCAUGGACCAGUCACCAAGAAAACGGUGUGCUGCUCAAAAGUCUCACUCUAAAGCUGCUAGUUUCAUUGUACUGGACUGUAGCUCUCAUGGGAAGUCAUGAUCACACAGGGUGAGGCAGUCUCUCGGGUAACUUGAACCAAGCCUAAUGGAGGCUUCUGAACAUGAGGGAGGAUCAAAACCUUGAAUUUGACCCAAUAUUCCAUGGGAAGCCAGUGAAGAGAGCAGGACAUUGGUGUGGUGGGCCUCUCAAUGGCUAGAGUUGCUUCAGUAUUUUGAAGCAAUUCAUAGUGCCAUCCCACCGGGAUAUGGAGCUGGUUGUCGUUUGCUCAUUGGUGACAUUUUAAGUCAGUGCUGCCUUGCCAACUCCCAUAGCAGUUUCAGAUACAUGUCAAACAAGAUGGAGGAGAGGAUAGUUCCUUGUGGAAUCCCAUAGGUAAGCAUAUCCCACACAGCCAGUGGAUUGAACAACACAGCAUAUCCUGUCUAGUAGACGACUGGGCCAGGAUGCUAUCUAGCACUGACUGAGCACUAAAGCAGAAAGCCUGCAGGCAGGUAAUGGUAACAGUGCCUGUCCUCCUUUAGGGUGAGUUUGUCUAUAGGGCUCAGAGAUUCUUAACUGCCACAGGGAAAGGGAGUUCAUACCUCCUGUGCCUACGUGAUGGCUGCCAGGUUAGCUUUGGAGGUAAAAGCAUCUGUCUCCACAGCUUUAGGUAAAAUCCAGUUUGUGUAGCUGGUGACUGUAACAGAUUCACAUUCUCUGUGGAUGAGAGUGGGACAUGAAACACACAUUGACCAGAGGUUAUACCAGUUUCACUCAAUAUGAUCUAAUGGGAGUUUUAUCUGCAGGACUGCUACCCCUGUAUUCAUCUCUAUCAGUUUCUUAGCAUUUUUGAAGCUGUAUCUGUUA